GCCAUCAUUUAAAGAAAGCGUAAUAGCUCACUGGUCGAGUCGGCCUGCGCGGAAGAUGUAACGGGGCUAAACCAUGCACCGAAGCUGCGGCAGCGACGCUUAUGCGUUGUUGGGUAGGGGAGCGUUCUGUAAGCCUGUGAAGGUGGCCUGUGAGGGUUGCUGGAGGUAUCAGAAGUGCGAAUGCUGACAUAAGUAACGAUAAAGCGGGUGAAAAGCCCGCUCGCCGGAAGACCAAGGGUUCCUGUCCAACGUUAAUCGGGGCAGGGUGAGUCGACCCCUAAGGCGAGGCCGAAAGGCGUAGUCGAUGGGAAACGGGUUAAUAUUCCCGUACUUGGUGUUACUGCGAAGGGGGGACGGAGAAGGCUAUGUUGGCCGGGCGACGGUUGUCCCGGUUUAAGCGUGUAGGUGUGUGUUCCAGGUAAAUCCGGUUCACUUUAACACUGAGGCGUGAUGACGAGGCACUACGGUGCUGAAGUAACAAAUGCCCUGCUUCCAGGAAAAGCCUCUAAGCAUCAGGUAACAUCAAAUCGUACCCCAAACCGACACAGGUGGUCAGGUAGAGAAUACCAAGGCGCUUGAGAGAACUCGGGUGAAGGAACUAGGCAAAAUGGUGCCGUAACUUCGGGAGAAGGCACGCUGACACGUAGGUGAAGUGAUUUACUCACGGAGCUGAAGUCAGUCGAAGAUACCAGCUGGCUGCAACUGUUUAUUAAAAACACAGCACUGUGCAAACACGAAAGUGGACGUAUACGGUGUGACGCCUGCCCGGUGCCGGAAGGUUAAUUGAUGGGGUCAGCGCAAGCGAAGCUCCUGAUCGAAGCCCCGGUAAACGGCGGCCGUAACUAUAACGGUCCUAAGGUAGCGAAAUUCCUUGUCGGGUAAGUUCCGACCUGCACGAAUGGCGUAAUGAUGGCCAGGCUGUCUCCACCCGAGACUCAGUGAAAUUGAACUCGCUGUGAAGAUGCAGUGUACCCGCGGCAAGACGGAAAGACCCCGUGAACCUUUACUAUAGCUUGACACUGAACAUUGAGCCUUGAUGUGUAGGAUAGGUGGGAGGCUUUGAAGUGUGGACGCCAGUCUGCAUGGAGCCGACCUUGAAAUACCACCCUUUAAUGUUUGAUGUUCUAACGUGGACCCGUUACCCGGGUUGCGGACAGUGUCUGGUGGGUAGUUUGACUGGGGCGGUCUCCUCCUAAAGAGUAACGGAGGAGCACGAAGGUUGGCUAAUCCUGGUCGGACAUCAGGAGGUUAGUGCAAUGGCAUAAGCCAGCUUGACUGCGAGCGUGACGGCGCGAGCAGGUGCGAAAGCAGGUCAUAGUGAUCCGGUGGUUCUGAAUGGAAGGGCCAUCGCUCAACGGAUAAAAGGUACUCCGGGGAUAACAGGCUGAUACCGCCCAAGAGUUCAUAUCGACGGCGGUGUUUGGCACCUCGAUGUCGGCUCAUCACAUCCUGGGGCUGAAGUAGGUCCCAAGGGUAUGGCUGUUCGCCAUUUAAAGUGGUACGCGAGCUGGGUUUAGAACGUCGUGAGACAGUUCGGUCCCUAUCUGCCGUGGGCGCUGGAGAACUGAGGGGGGCUGCUCCUAGUACGAGAGGACCGGAGUGGACGCAUCACUGGUGUUCGGGUUGUCAUGCCAAUGGCACUGCCCGGUAGCUAAAUGCGGAAGAGAUAAGUGCUGAAAGCAUCUAAGCACGAAACUUGCCCCGAGAUGAGUUCUCCCUGAGACUUAAAGUCUCCUGAAGGAACGUUGAAGACGACGACGUUGAUAGGCCGGGUGUGUAAGCGCAGCGAUGCGUUGAGCUAACCGGUACUAAUGAACCGUGAGGCUUAACCCUACAACGCCGAAG
rnacentral:rRNA from 1 species